AUUUUUAGUAGAGAUGGACUUUCACUAUGUUGGCCAGGCUGGUCUCGAACUCCUGGCCUCAAGUGAUCAGCCUGCCUCUGCCUCCCAAAAUGCUGGGAUUACAGUCAUAAGCCACUGCACCCAACCUCUCCCUGUUAAUUUAGAACAGAUACUGGAUCCUUGUCAAAGCCAAGGUCAGAGAUGAGAAGAGAGCAACUCUGUAUUGGAGGAUUAUUGAGUGAGUUUGCUGUACAGGUGGCCAGGACUCAAGGAGGGGCUAAUGCCCACAAACACGUGGCCUAUCUGUGGGCAAAGAGCCUGGGAGGAGAAGCUGCAGUUAGACUACUUACCAAGCUGGGACUCCUGGAAGCUUCCGUUGACCAUGCUGCAGACAAUUGCUCCUUUGAAUUUGCUUUUGAACUCUCUCGGCUGGCCCUCAAGCACAAAACCCCCGAGAUCCAUCUCAAAUACGCCAUGUACCUGGAGGAUGAGGGUAAAUUGGAAGAGGCUGAAGCUGAAUUCAUCAGAGCUGGUAAACCCAAGGAAGCAGUCCUCAUGUGAGUUACCCCAUACAUUCCUUAAUCCUGUUUCCCCAGUCACAGUCCCAGGAUCUUUCAUGACUAUCUUGACUUCAUUCAAACCUAGAACAAAUCAGUGUUACACCCUUCAGAGACAUGGCUGUUUGUCUCCCAGAAUUGGGGCCUCAGUCCUAUACUCAGUCUCUCCUCUGUCCCCAUCUGGGGGCGAGUUUGUCCAUAACCAGGACUGAGAGGCAGCUCAGUGUGUGGCCGAGGCCCAUGACCCUGACAGUGUCGCAGAGGUGCUUGUGGGACAAGCCCGGAGGGCCUUGGAGGAGAAGGACUUUCAGAAAGCAGAAGGGCUGCUGCUCCGGGCCCAGAGACCAGGCCUGACUCUCAAUUAUUAUAAGGUGGGGCACUGGAUUCAGGGCCAUGAGGGGAUGGGGAGAGUCUGAGAGCCCACAGAGAGCCACACUGACCCCUGGUAUGAAGAAAGAUCAGGGAUGUUAGUACUGGGGAGUGGGAAAGACAGGAAAGAGGAAGGAGAAGAGAGGUCGAAGGACCGUGGGCCAGGGCACCUGUGUGGCAGUGGGAAGCUGUCCUGCCUGCCUCUGCCAUCUUGAUACCUGGAAAUCUGAGCAGGAGGCUGGAUUAUGGAGUGACGCACUGCGGAUCUGCAAGGACUAUGUGCCCGGCCAGCUGGAGGCUCUGCAGGAGGAGUAUGAGCGGGAAGCUACUAAGAAGGGGGCCAGGUAUGAGGCCAGAGGUCCAGCAGCAGUGGGAGGGCUGGGAGGGUCAUGAGGCGUGCACAGGGUAGAGCACACUGCCCCCCACCCCGUGCCUAGUCCCAGUGCUCUAAUCUCCACAGGGGUGUGGAGGGACUCGUGGAACAAGCUCGACACUGGGAGCAGGCUGGAGAGUACAGUCGCGCCGUGGACUGCUACCUCCGAGUGCGAGACUCUGGAAACAGCGGCCUGAUGGAGAAGUGCUGGAUGAAGGUGAGGGCAGCAGGCUCUUUCUGGCCCUCCUCCUUCCUAGGCCUCCAUUCACACUCAGCUUCCCUUCUCACAUCUGCAGCUGUCUCCUCUGUGUCUUUUCCUUUUCAGUCAGGUAGCAGGAAUCUGUAGAGCUCCUGCUGGAUGGCAGAGCCAGAACCUCUGAAGGCUGUUAGGCAGACAUAAGACAGAGCCCUGACAGCUCAAAGUUAGGGGAGCUGGACUAACAUGGCUCAGUUAAUAUCGUAUCAGAGUAAAGACUAAAUUGCUUGACUUAGAAUUCAGAGAACAGUGAGAUCUGUGUGGACUAGAAGAGUCAGGAAGGCUCUGUGAAGAAGGAGGGAGGACUUGGACAGGAGCUCCAGGCACAGGAACUGGCCUGACAGGGACCAUGACAAAGGCUGGGCUCCGCCUCCCCCUCACUAAUUCCUGAAAAGAAGCCUCCAGCAAAUGAAGCCAGGCCGGUAUGUGUCACAAAUAAUAAGACAUACUGUAUUAGAG
rnacentral:lncRNA from 1 species